rnacentral:antisense_RNA from 1 species
UGUCCUCUUAAAAUUCUGCCCUGGAGGUGUCACCCUAGCUCCAGCCCUGACCUUAAGAGGGAGGUACUAGUAUUAUCCACAUUUAUUUUUUAUUUUAAUUAAUUAAUUAAUUAAUUUUAUUUAUUUUUGAGACGGAGUCUCGCUCUGUUGCCCAGGCUGGAGUGCAGUGGCGCAAUCUCGGCUCACUGCAAGCUCCGCCUCCCAGGUUCACGCCAUUCUCCUGCCUCAGCCUCCCAAGUAGCUGGGACUACAGGCACCCGCCACCAUGCCCGGCUAAUUUUUUGUAUUGCAGGCUAGGGAGAGCUGAGUUGGUUACAUCUGGGGUCCAUCUAGGGUUCCAUCCCUGGAAAAAAUGGUGGUGGUGGUUAGGGCUGCCCGGAGCUCCUCAGGGGCAAAGACCCCCAGUUCUGUGAUGAUGCCGCCAGUGAUGAGGUCGUGAGGGGUGACAUCGAAGGCAGGAUUCCAAACUCCAAUCCCUG